rnacentral:rRNA from 1 species
UACGAAGGGGGCUAGCGUUGCUCGGAGUCACUGGGCGUAAAGCGCACGUAGGCGGACUCUUAAGUCGGUGGUGAAAUCCUGGAGCUCAACUCCAGAACUGCCUUCGAUACUGAGAGUCUCGAGUCCGAGAGAGGUGAGUGGAACUGCGAGUGUAGAGGUGAAAUUCGUAGAUAUUCGCAAGAACACCAGUGGCGAAGGCGGCUCACUGGCUCGGUACUGACGCUGAGGUGCGAAAGCGUGGGGAGCAAAAGGG